UACCAGCACCCCGAGUGGUCGGGACGUUUAUUGGGCCUAAAGCAUCCGUAGCCGGUUCUACAAGUCUUCCGUUAAAUCCACCUGCUUAACAGAUGGGCUGCGGAAGAUACUACGUGGCUAGGAGGCGGGAGAGGCAAGCGGUACUCAGUGGGUAGGGGUAAAAUCCUUUGAUCCAUUGAAGACCACCAGUGGCGAAGGCGGCUUGCCAGAACGCGCUCGACGGUGAGGGAUGAAAGCUGGGGGAGCAAACCGG
rnacentral:rRNA from 1 species